rnacentral:rRNA from 1 species
GGAAACAGAUGCUAAUACCGAAUAAAACUUAGUGUCGCAUGACACAAAGUUAAAAGGCGCUUCGGCGUCACCUAGAGAUGGAUCCGCGGUGCAUUAGUUAGUUGGUGGGGUAAAGGCCUACCAAGACAAUGAUGCAUAGCCGAGUUGAGAGACUGAUCGGCCACAUUGGGACUGAGACACGGCCCAAACUCCUACGGGAGGCUGCAGUAGGGAAUCUUCCACAAUGGGCGAAAGCCUGAUGGAGCAACGCCGCGUGUGUGAUGAAGGCUUUCGGGUCGUAAAGCACUGUUGUAUGGGAAGAACAGCUAGAAUAGGAAAUGAUUUUAGUUUGACGGUACCAUACCAGAAAGGGACGGCUAAAUACGUGCCAGCAGCCGCGGUAAUACGUAUGUCCCGAGCGUUAUCCGGAUUUAUUGGGCGUAAAGCGAGCGCAGACGGUUUAUUAAGUCUGAUGUGAAAGCCCGGAGCUCAACUCCGGAAUGGCAUUGGAAACUGGUUAACUUGAGUGCAGUAGAGGUAAGUGGAACUCCAUGUGUAGCGGUGGAAUGCGUAGAUAUAUGGAAGAACACCAGUGGCGAAGGCGGCUUACUGGACUGCAACUGACGUUGAGGCUCGAAAGUGUGGGUAGCAAACAGGAUUAGAUACCCUGGUAGUCCACACCGUAAACGAUGAACACUAGGUGUUAGGAGGUUUCCGCCUCUUAGUGCCGAAGCUAACGCAUUAAGUGUUCCGCCUGGGGAGUACGACCGCAAGGUUGAAACUCAAAGGAAUUGACGGGGACCCGCACAAGCGGUGGAGCAUGUGGUUUAAUUCGAAGCAACGCGAAGAACCUUACCAGGUCUUGACAUCCUUUGAAGCUUUUAGAGAUAGAAGUGUUCUCUUCGGAGACAAAGUGACAGGUGGUGCAUGGUCGUCGUCAGCUCGUGUCGUG